rnacentral:rRNA from 1 species
GAUGAACGCUGGCGGCGUGCCUAAUACAUGCAAGUCGAGCGAACAGAUGAGGAGCUUGCUCCUCUGACGUUAGCGGCGGACGGGUGAGUAACACGUGGAUAACCUACCUAUAAGACUGGGAUAACUUCGGGAAACCGGAGCUAAUACCGGAUAAUAUAUUGAACCGUAUGGUUCAAUAGUGAAAGACGGUUUUGCUGUCACGUAUAGAUGGAUCCGCGCCGCAUUAGCUAGUUGGUAAGGUAACGGCUUACCAAGGCAACGAUGCGUAGCCGACCUGAGAGAGUGAUCGGCCACACUGGAACUGAGACACGGUCCAGACUCCUACGGGAGGCAGCAGUAGGGAAUCUUCCGCAGUGGGCGAAAGCCUGACGAAGCAACGCCGCGUGAGAGAUGAAGGUCUUCGGAUCGUAAAACUCUGUUAUUGGGGAAGAACAAAUGUAGAAGUAACUAUGCACGUCUUGACGGUACCUAAUCAGAAAGCAACGGCUAACUACGUG